UUUCUUGUAUACAGAAAUACAGUCCCAUCAUACUUUUUAAAUUAUUUUUUAAGGUAACACAACAGCAAUUGAUAAAACAAAUGUGUAGGUGUUAUAUAAGCAUUCAAUAUAGAUCUUUAAAUCAAUCUCACAAAAUUCUAGUUACCUGCUUGCCUUAGUUGAAUAAUUUCUGUGGACCAAUAAAAUAUGAAUAGCAUUUUCAUUCAUGGUAAGGGUGCAUGAGUAAUUUUAUACCUGGUCUGAAAAUUUUCAUGACUGUAAGCAGUGCUUUGUUAACCUCUUUUGAAACAGCUAUUGCAUAAGGAGGAGAGUGGUUACAGGGGGAAAGUUGUACAGCAGUCCUGCUCCCUGGCUUUGAGAUAAGGUGUUGGAUAUUUUUACCUUCUAAACUCUCUACAUGCCACUUAGUCCUGGUUUACACUACAAAGUUAGGUUGAUGUAAGCUGUCUUGUGUCAUCCUUGAUGUGCAUGUGUCUACACUUACAUUUGUCAAGCGCCCCGUUACAGUGAUGUUGUAACACCAACUCCCCAAGAGGUGUUGAGCCAUUGUCAAUGUUCUGAGGUCAACGCAGCAUGAGUGUAGACACUGAGAGCUUGUCUUCACUACCAGGAUAAGUUGACCUAAGUUACGCUACUCCAGCUAUGUAGCUUAGGUCGACUCUACCCUGGGUGUCUUCGCUGCACUGCGUCAAUGGGAGAUACUUUCUGGUCGAUUUACCUUACUCUUCUCAGAGAGCUGGAGUACCAGUGUCAACCAGAGAACACUCUGCCGUACAUUUAGUGGGUCUUCACUAGACCCGCUAAAUCGACACCUGCUGCAUUGAUUGCAGCAGCAUCAAUCUCCCUGGUAGUGAAGACAAGCCCUGAGUUACCUAUGUCAGCCCUAAUAGUCCUACAACAGCUGUGUCCCAUAAUGCCCAACACUGACCGCUCUGGUCACAGUUGUGAACUCCAUUGCCUGGGGUCACAGAGACCCGAAGGCUCCCCCCCCUUCCCCGCUUUAAAGCCCUAUACAUUUUUGAAAUGCCUGCUCCUGAUUAUCCAGCUUGGCAAGCACAUCUAGCAGCUCUCCUUUGUUGUGUGCAACAGUCCAGCCGACCAUGCCAGCUACAUGCUCCAGAUGCACUCCAGCUUGGAGUAUAGGAUAGGAGGUAUAGGAUUUCCUGGGCCUGUGAGGAGAAAAGGCUGUGCAGGCACAGUUGUGGACUAGCUGUGGAAAUGUGGACAUCUACGAGCAGAUUGGCUGGAGGAUGCAGGAGAGAGGGCUAUGAUAGGGAUCACCAGCAGUGCCGGGUGAAAGCGAAGGAAUUGCGGCAGGUCAUAUCAGCUGUUGGCCUCCUAGUCUUCUGAUCCAGUUUCGAGCCCGCAGACCUGCCAGUCUUACAAAGAGCUGUAUGCCAUACUCGGAGACCCCACUGCCACCCUGCACAUUACUGUGGAUACCUACGAAGAACCUGAGUCACAGACCCCUCCUGUGAACAGUGAGGGUAAGGAGGGGGGACAUGCAAUCGGCAGGGGUCCAUCUAUGCCGCAAGUCAGUACCUGUUUCAGAAUCUACCACAGACCAAUCAGUCCCAGCAGUUGAGCAUGGGAAAGCCUGAUACAGAGGAAGAAACUUUGGUUGCUGCCAUUGCAGCCUUGAGGGGUUCCCCCUCCACACCUGCAGGAUGCCUGAGCCAGAUCAGGAAG